rnacentral:rRNA from 1 species
CCCCCCCCCCCCCNCCCGGCNGCCCCNUCCCNUCCCCNCNGGGGCCCGCNNCCCGGCCGCUGCCGGACUCCGCUCGUACUCNACCGACCAUAGAGUUCUAGUUCGACACCUGCGCUNCGACCGCGGCUGGUUCUAGGUACGGCCUACCUCACCACUAGUCUCACGUUACGACACCGGGCACGCCCACGGGGUACGCUAUGCUACUACUAGGGUACGGCGACGUAGGCGGACCGGGUACGACGGACACUACCACUACGGUACCUACUCCCUACUACGUACGUCGGGGGACUUCCCCGUCCGGGACCACCUUCCCGCUUCACCUANCCCGCCUACCCGUACCCUUNCCGGGUAGACCCGCCGGGGACUACCUAUACCGGGACCCCUAUAGCCGCGUACUAUNUGACACUUCGACGGCCGUACUACGUUACCUGGUACUAUUUACNGGCUAUCACCGUAUUCAGGGGCCGGGGGGGGUUUACCACACGGGCCCCACCCCACACCGGGGGCNGUACCCCGUUACCUUCCCCCCGUUCNNCGGCUUCGGGGUNCCUUCGGNCGGUUACCGGGGGACUACGGACCUUCCNCGGGGCCACCCUACCUUUGGGGUACACCCCUCUCGUACGGUUACCCNACCGGGGUACCCACGUACUCUUCCCCUUACCGGGGGUACGGACCACGGGACAACGNUAGGGGGGUAACCGGUUUNNCUANUAGGGGGGACCCCACNCUUAGGGGGGGGCCGGUCCUCUCUGGCCCCUUCGNUACCUUNCCCCUACGGGCGCCACUUUUACUCCGCUGGGCGGGUUUACGGGGGUUACGGAACUCUGUUACCNCGGGGGGCCCCUUNUUUCCNGGGGGGGUUUCUACGGUUUUCACUACNCGGCCCCCCUANUACUUUCCGGGUNUCCGGGGGGGUACCACNACCGGUACCACUACUUNACCCCCUCCGGCCCCCGUGUGUCUUCUNCCUACCUAUACCCCCUUCGGGGGUUAANUNCGGGGGGGGGUGNCCUU